AAAAUAAAUAAUCUGUUGCAUAUAACAUUUUAAAUAUUUAUGGAAUGUAAACUGUUACAUGUACAAACUUUGUACAAACUUUAAACUAUUUAAAUUAAACACAAUGGCACAACAACUGUAUAGUUUUAGGAAGAACAAAACAAGAAUGUGUCCCUAGAUGCCCCAUCGGCAUUAUCAUAAUGACAUUUUCUAUGUUCAGUGGUCCAUGAAAAUGGGGUUAAAACUCCAAUUUGGCAUUAAAAUUAGACAGACAAUAUCAUAGGGAGCAAUCAUAGCACUAAAUUUCAAGUUGAUUGGACUUCAACUUCAUCAAAAACUACCUCAACCAAAAACUUUAACAUGAAGCAGGACAGACAGAAAGACGGACGAACGGACAGAUGAACGGACAGACAGACAAACAGAUGCAUAGACCUGAAAAUAUAAUGCCCCUCUACAAUCGUAGGUGGGGCAAAAAA
rnacentral:lncRNA from 1 species